rnacentral:lncRNA from 1 species
GUGAGGCGAAGAGAGUUCUGGGAGUUGAGGUAUAAAGACUUAAAAUCUGGCAAGAGGAAGAUGAGGUCAUGGUAGGAGAUAUGCUCACAGUCUUUCCAGAGAGACCGUCACCCUCUCCCCAAGGGGGCAGCCUGAUGUUCCAGGAGGUGGCAGCCACUCGUCCAGGUCAGAAAGCGACUGCCAAGAACUCACUGGACCUUGGAAGUCAGCCAGCUGCCAAUCUGUCAGCUUGCAUCCGGAGGGCUGGAGAAGAAGCGCUGUGUUAACUGUGCAACUCUGUGCUGCUGUGCACGCUCGAGAGAAGACAUUUGUUAAUGUAUGAAAAGUCCUUAGAACAAUGGAAUGAAGCUUCCAUGAAGUCAGCUUUCUCAGGUCCACAGCAAAUAUUUGGGGGAGUGGAGGUGGGGGCAGAACCCUUCAGGCAUUCAGUACAAGGUAGUGGUGUGUGUACGUGGGAGGCAGUCCCAGAUGUCAGAACCUGAAUUCAAAGCGCAUUCUGGCUGUAGUGGGUUGAACAGUGAACCCUCCAGAAGUUAUGUUGAUGUCCUAAUCCCUGGAAUGCUACCUUAUUUAGAAAAAAUAAGGUAUGCAGGUACGAUUUAGUUAAGAAUAUGAGGGCAAGAGUUUAUUCCUGGAUUUUCUGAGUGGGGCCUAAAUGCAGUCAUAUGUAUCCUUAUGACACAGCAGAAGAGGGAACUUUGAGAGGGAAGAGGAGAACGCCCUGUCACCACUGAGGCAGAGACUGGAGUGAAGCAACUCCAAAUCCAAUGGAAGGAUCCUCCCCCGGAUCCUUUGGAGGGACCCUGGUGACACCUCGAUUUCAGACCUAUGGCCUCCAAAACAGUGAGAGAAUACAUUUCCCUUGUUUGAAGCCGUGUGGUUUAUGGUACAGUCAUGUGCUACAUAACGAUGUUUUGAUAUGUUUUGAUCAACAGCGGACUGCCUAUACAAUGGUGGUCCCAUAUGGUUAUA